GAACUGCUCUUUCCUUUAUAAAAUACCCAGUCUCAGAUCGUGUAGACUUCAAUUGGCAGAGUUACUCAGUAUUAUUUACUUGGAAAAUCCUCUGUAACCUAAAAGUCCUAGCUCUCCUGACACUAAGGAUGACAAUGGAACACUUAAAUGGUAGCUGCCUAUGAAGGGCUGUCCCUCUACCCCCUUGUUCCCUCUGAAUCUGAAGCUAUUAGCCACUUACAAUCUUAAUAAACUAAAAUUUUUUUGGA